rnacentral:sRNA from 1 species
AGUGAACUUCGUUUGAAGCGAUAUCCUUUUUAUAAGGUGAUUUUUCUUCACCUUAUAAAAAGAUACAAGCGGAUAGCAGGAAAUAGC